ensembl:lncRNA
GCUGGAUGAUCUCAAAGGGAUUUGGCUUCAAAUCUUAGUUCUUCUACUCACCUUUUUAACCACAGGCAAGUCACUGAAGUCCUCGGAGGCCCUGGGGCCUCAUGAGGAAAACAGGAGUAAUAGUUAUUUAUAUGUCCUUUAUGGUUUGCAAAACACUUUCUGUGCGAAAGCCUGUGUAUGUGGGGGGAUGCAGGGGUGCUUAUUAAUGCCAUCAUUUUACAGGUGAGGAAACUGAGGCAUAGAAAAGCUAAAUAACUGAAGCUCCUGCGGGUGACAAGUCCAGGGCUCUUGCCAGUAGACAACACUUACAGCUAUAACCAGUUUAUAGUUUAGAGCCCUCCUCAGCCUGUAAGAGGCCAGGCUUGCUGACCCAAGCCUAGGAACGGCUGUUCGCUACAGGACCCAAGUCACCUGGGCCAGUACCUGCUGGCCCAGAGACCACUGAGACAGAGCCCCAAGCUUCUCCAGGGACAGAUGAGAAUAGGCUUCGAAAUGCUCCCCUCCCUCCUUCAGCCUCCUCCACACCCGAAUCCACUAAUCAGCCUGGUGCUGGGGAGAUGUUUCGAAAACAAAAAACAGAAACUGAAAACUUGACUUCCUGUAGGCCCUGCAAAGGAAGCAGGAAGAAAAAGCUGUGAAUGUGUGAUGAGCAGCUGGCUUUUUAUUUUUAAACUUGUCUCACUGCUGCGUAGAUGUUCUGGAAAAACAGGGAGGAUUACAAAGGAAUUCUGACCUACAAGGACUACAUUUUUCAAGUCGGUGUUAAUGAGGCUGAUGGGGUCUUUUCAGGACCUGGGUUUCACUGUGAAAUCUGUUUGUGUGGUAGAGACAAAAGGAGAGAAUCCUGCACAUUGAAGACUGCAGAGGACACCUUACCUGCUCACUGUCUUUCCCUGGGACCAGACCCAGCACCAGCUGUGCUAAGUGGAAAAUCAACCUUCUCCCCUUUCUCCCGCAGGACCCUGCGUACUUUCACCAUGGCCAUCUGGACACUGCAUGAUGUUUUUCUGGCUCUGUCUCUAAAGAGUCAUUUAAAUGGGCAAAAUUUCAUGCCAGGUCAGUACAAUAAGGAAGAUGACUGA